rnacentral:rRNA from 1 species
UACGUAGGGGGCAAGCGUUGUCCGGAUUUAUUGGGCGUAAAGAGCGUGUAGGCGGCCUGACAGGUCUGCUGUGAAAACUCGAGGCUCAACCUCGAGAUGUCGGCGGAAACCGUCUGGCUAGAGUCCGGAGAGGAGAGUGGAAUUCCUGGUGUAGCGGUGAAAUGCGCAGAUAUCAGGAAGAACACCUAUGGCGAAGGCAGCUCUCUGGGACGGUACUGACGCUGAGGCGCGAAAGCGUGGGGAGCGAACAGG